UACGUAGGUGGCAAGCGUUGUCCGGAUUUACUGGGCGUAAAGAGCGCGCAGGCGGUCGAUCAAGUCGCGUGUGAAAGCCCCCGGCUCAACUGGGGAGGGUCAGCGCGAUACUGAUCGACUCGAAGGCAGGAGAGGGUAGUGGAAUUCCCGGUGUAGUGGUGAAAUGCGUAGAUAUCGGGAGGAACACCAGUGGCGAAGGCGACUACCUGGCCUGUUCUUGACGCUGAGGCGCGAAAGCUAGGGGAGCAACGGG
rnacentral:rRNA from 1 species